UACGUAGGGGGCUAGCGUUGUCCGGAAUCAUUGGGCGUAAAGAGCGUGUAGGCGGUCCGGUAAGUUCGCUGUGAAAGUCGGGGGCUCAACCCUCGAAUGCCGGUGGAUACUGUCGGGCUAGAGUGCGGAAGAGGCGAGUGGAAUUCCUGGUGUAGCGGUGAAAUGCGCAGAUAUCAGGAGGAACACCUAUUGCGAAGGCAGCUCGCUGGGACGUUACUGACGCUGAGACGCGAAAGCGUGGGGAGCAAACAGG
rnacentral:rRNA from 1 species